GAUGAACGCUGGCGGCGUGCCUAAUACAUGCAAGUCGAGCGAACGGACGAGAAGCUUGCUUCUCUGAUGUUAGCGGCGGACGGGUGAGUAACACGUGGAUAACCUACCUAUAAGACUGGGAUAACUUCGGGAAACCGGAGCUAAUACCGGAUGAUAUUUUGAACCGCAUGGUUCAAAAGUGAAAGACGGUCUUGCUGUCACUUAUAGAUGGAUCCGCGCUGCAUUAGCUAGUUGGUAAGGUAACGGCUUACCAAGGCAACGAUGCAUAGCCGACCUGAGAGAGUAAUCGGCCACACUGGAACUGAGACACGGUCCAGACUCCUACGGGAAGCAGCAGUAGGGAAUCUUCCGCAAUGGGCGAAAGCCUGACGGAGCAACGCCGCGUGAGUGAUGAAGGUCUUCGGAUCGUAAAACUCUGUUAUUAGGGAAGAACAUAUGUGUAAGUAACUGUGCACAUCUUGACGGUACCUAAUCAGAAAGCCACGGCUAACUACGUG
rnacentral:rRNA from 1 species